rnacentral:rRNA from 1 species
AGCGCAACCCUUGUCAUUAGUUGCCAUCAUUUGGUUGGGCACUCUAAUGAGACUGCCGGUGACAAACCGGAGGAAGGUGGGGAUGACGUCAAGUCCUCAUGGCCCUUAUGGGUAGGGCUUCACACGUCAUACAAUGGUCGGUACAGAGGGUUGCCAACCCGCGAGGUGGAGCGAAAUCCCAGAAAACCUGUCUCAGUCCGGAUUGAAGUCUGCAACUCGACUUCAUGAAGGCGGAAUCGCUAGUAACCGCGAAUCAGCAGGUCGCGGUCGAAUACGUUCCCGGGCCUU